rnacentral:rRNA from 1 species
UUCUGACCUCGGAUCAGGUGGGACUACCCGCCGAACUUAAGCAUAUCAAUAAGCGGAGGAAAAGAAACUAACAAGGAUUCCCCUAGUAACGGCGAGUGAAGCGGGAUGAGCUCAAAUUUAGAAUCUGGCAGUCUUCGGCUGUCCGAGUUGUAAUCUAGAGAAGUGUUUUCUGUGCUGAACUGUGUUCAAGUUUCCUGGAUAUGGAACAUCAUAGAGGGUGAGAAUCCCGUCCUUGACACAGACUCCUCAGUGCUAUGUGAUGCACUCUCAACGAGUCGAGUUGUUUGGGAUUGCAGCUCAAAAUGGGAGGUAAAUUCCUUCUAAAGCUAAAUAUUG